AUGGAUGAAGAACGCAAGAGAGACCAUAGAAACGCCCUGAGGAGGGCUUCCUAUCGGCGGAAGAAACAAUCUACCGUUACAGUUGAACAUGCACACGACCUGCAUUUAUCAGGCAACCACACUAGCUCUAACUAUACAUCAUUCUCGUUUGAUGCGUCGGCAUUUCCUGAUUCAACGGAGGUCUCCACUGGUAUCGUUAAUGACAUAGAGCUACAAGACGGGAUCUUGAAUGACAUACAAGAAACAAAUGAAAGAACUGAAGAAGAACGCAAGAGAGACCAUAGAAAUGCCCUAAGGCGAGCUGCUUAUUGGAGGAACAAGGAUAAGCGUAUCCAGGAUCAAAACAAAUAUGCAUCUGCUACUUCAGACGACCAAAAUAGCCCUAGCGUUACAGAAUUAACGAAAGAGGGAGCAACAUGUCCCCCUUCAACUUUACAGGCGUCUAUCAUUCAGGACACUGUUCUAGCUAGCAGGCAGACUGACAAUGAGCGGAAACGUAAUUUAACAAACGAUCAAAGGGAGGCGAAAAACGCAAGGAGCAGAGCAUGCCAUCAGAAGAGAAGUGACGAAUUAACGUCCGAGGUCAGAGAAUUAAUGAACGAAAAAAGACGCGAGAGGAGCGUGCAACGCCGCAAAAGCAUGUCAGCGAAUGAGAAGGGGGAGUCAAGUGCACAGAGGAAGGCCAAUUAUGACCGAAGGAAAAAAACACCGUGCAAAGAAUGCAUCGCAAUCCCCCUUACAGACCUAGCAAACUCAGACUCCGAAUGUCCCACAUGCCCAAGCCACGCAUCACCCGUCUCCCAGGCCGCAAAAGAUGAUUCAUCUGAUGAUGAUCCGGGGACGAAUAUGCCGACAUACUCUGCCGGUGCCACUGGUAAGAAUUUGCGAAUCUCAGUUUCUUAA
rnacentral:rRNA from 1 species